rnacentral:misc_RNA from 1 species
AAAACUUCCGGUCUCUCUCUCUUUCCGGUAGUUCAAAAUGGGGCGCCGACCAGCUCGGUGUUACCGAUAUUGUAAGAACAAACCAUAUCCCAAGUCCAGAUUUUGUCGUGGUGUCCCAGAUCCUAAGAUCCGUAUCUUUGAUCUUGGGAGGAAGAAGGCCAGGGUAGAUGAAUUUUCUCUGUGUGUGCAUCUAGUUUCUGAUGAGUAUGAACAGUUGUCAUCAGAAGCGUUGGAGGCUGGCCGUAUCUGUGCCAACAAGUACUUGGUCAAGAACUGUGGUAAAGACGCUUUCCACAUGCGGAUACGAGUGCACCCCUUCCACGUCAUCAGAAUCAACAAGAUGUUGUCGUGUGCCGGAGCCGAUAGGCUUCAGACAGGAAUGAGAGGAGCUUUUGGUAAGCCACAAGGAACCGUUGCUCGCGUACACAUUGGACAGCCCAUCAUGUCCGUCCGUGCCCGUGAGAACCACCAGGCAUCAGUGAUAGAAGCUCUCCGUAGAGCCAAGUUCAAGUUCCCAGGACGUCAGAAGAUCCACAUUUCCAAGAAGUGGGGCUUCACGAAGUGGGAGAAACCGCAGUAUGAGGAGAUGCGCGCGGACGGUCGUCUGAUCCCAGACGGAGUUACCGUACAGUACAAACCCGAGAAGGGGCCCCUCAAGGCCUGGAUGGACAGACAGAGGGUCUAACCUAUUUAUUGUGAUCUGGACGAUAGAAAGAAUAAAACAACACUUGGGCCUUC